CCUUUUCUCUUUAAGAUAAUAUAAUUGUGCAUUUGUGUGUUGCUUGAUUCUAAAAGUCCAAGGGAAUUCUGGGUUUCUAUUAACAUUCUUGUCUAUUGGAUUGCUACCCAUUUGGUCAGAUCUUUUCAACUCUCAACUUAAAUUGUGCAUUUGUGUGUUGCUUGAUUCUAAAAGUCCAAGGGAAUUCUGGGUUUCUAUUAACAUUCUUGUCUAUUGGAUUGCUACCCAUUUGGUCAGAUCUUUUCAACUCUCAACUUUUAAUUUUG
rnacentral:lncRNA from 1 species